UUGGAGGGCAAGUCUGGUGCCAGCAGCCGCGGUAAUUCCAGCUCCAAUAGCGUAUAUUAAAGUUGUUGCCGUUAAAAAGCUCGUAGUUGAACCUUGGACCUGGCUGAUCUGUCCUCCUAAUCGAGCGCACGGAUUCGGUCGGGUCUUUCCUUCUGGGGAGCCCUAUGCCCUUCACUGGGUGUAGUGGGGAACCAGGACUUUUACCUUGAAAAAAUUAGAGUGUUCAAAGCAGGCCUUUGCUCGAAUACAUUAGCAUGGAGUAAUAGAAUAGGACAUCGGUUCUAUUUUGUUGGUUUCUAGGACCGCUGUAAUGAUUAAUAGGGAUAGUCGGGGGCGUCAGUAUUCAAUUGUCAGAGGUGAAAUUCUUGGAUUUAUUGAAGACUAACUACUGCGAAAGCACUCGCCAAGGAUGUUUUCAUUAAUCAGUGAACGAAAGUUAGGGGAUCGAAGACGAUCAGAUACCGUCGUAGUCUUAACCAUAAACUAUGCCGACUAGGGAUCGGACGGUGGUUUUUUUAUGCCCCGUUCGGCGCCUUACGGGAAAC
rnacentral:rRNA from 1 species